UUUUUUUUUUUCAAAACGAAGUCCUCUCCUUCUUUAUCCGUAAUGUUUUUCUUACAAAAUUUUUUUCACAUGAUCUUUGUAUUCUUUUAUUUUACUAUUUCUGUAGUGUUUUAUAUUUUACGAUUGUUUUUUAUCGUUUCUAUUUGUGCGCUUGUCGUAAUAGAAACUUUUGCUUCUGCUAUUAACGGUCGUCUUUUACGACGAAAA
rnacentral:lncRNA from 1 species